CAGUGUUUUUAGUGAUAUGCUAUUUACACUAAGUGCAAAUAGCUAGAUUCUAUUUAUAUCUGAUUCUUAUGACGCACUUUGUCUUUAUAGCACAUUCUAGCAUACUCCGUAAUUCCUCAAGGGGGCAGUAACAGUCCACAGUCAUUGAAUAGUCCAACACAUAUUAUUAUAGCUCUAUUACCUAAGAGUGUCUGAAUACAGAGCCCAUUGCAACACAAAAACACUUUUCAUGGAUUUUAUAAAAUCCGUAAAUAUGCAUUUCCCUCUAAAGGCGCGUCCAAUGAGGAGAUGGCGGGUCAUGAUCAUCAUCUUUGCACAUGGACUCAGAAAACACUAAUUUAUUAAUUAUUAUUUCAGUAUCUCCUUACUAUUUCCCCCUGACACAUUCAUGGUAAUUACUUUUGCUGGGGCUUUGCGCCAAGCUUUAGCCUGUUGCGUGCGUUUUUUGCACUGCACAUGAUCAAUUGAUUCACUGUUUGUCGUGGUAAUCAAAUCAAAACUCUUCCAAAAUGCAGCUUUUCCCGAAGCAUUGGUAACUUGGUAAGCCCGCACUGGGGCGAGCUCCGCAGCACACUUCUGAAGGCCCUUUCACACAGGAAGCGGAAAGCGCGCUGCGCUAUGAAACCCAUUCAUUAAAUGGCUUGCGCUCCCCAAGCUGCACCGAACAAAGCCGCGUCCUGUUUGAAAGGACUGUCUGUAUUUCGCAACAGACCGCAGGCGAGAAAAUCGUCGACUAAGGCAGCCUCCUGCCCCAAAAUAACCCCUUCAAAACAGACAGCUCUCCAACCAUUGGUUCACAUAACAUUACACCCCACCAAUAGCUGAACUUUUCACACGCGAACUUCCUUCCCACAAAUCUCUCAAUGACUUUCACGCCUUCUUCUAAAAACCUCACAACAUCGAUCUCUUAUUUCACGAGCUGUAGUGCAUAUGGCACUAUCCGGGGAAAUUUGCAGCAUCCUGUCGCUUAUUUAAAGAUCGUAAGAAAUUACUAAAGUAAUAAUUCUGUGACCGACAUGGAAAUCAAUCACGAGGGUACCAUGUUUGAAUGUCUUUGGAGGCCACUAGUAGGAGUCUGGAGACUCCUGUGCAGCCAUGUGACUGAUGACUCUGAAAUAAAACUUUCACAAGAGGAAACAGAUCCAGUGUCCGCCAUCACCAGUGCCCCCUAUAGCUCUGUCCAUCCAUGGUUUGAGAGUUAUGGAGAAGACGUUGGAGUUUAGUGUGGAGGAGUGAAUACAUGAAUAUUGCCUCGUGUGUUAUUAGUGAUUCUUUGGUUUGAUGCUCAUGGGCUCCCCGCCUCUUUCCCCACCUGUGCAUAUAUUAGGAGCACAUGCCUCCACUUUGUGGAACAGCUCUCCAGGAGUCUGGAGGACAAGACUUUCCCAAAAGGGCCAGACUGUAAAAACUGCAGUGGGCAUUUACCUCCAGUUCAUUUGUUACACUGGAAAUGGAAAAUUGAGUCAAGCACAUGGUACUGUUAUUCUGACAAUAGUCGACUGUAACUUUGAGUAUUCAAACUUGAUGAGAAUUUUUUUUAUUGGAAAUGAGUGUCUAAAACCUUUUACAAUUUUAAAUUACAGAUUGUCACUUUUAGCCCAGCUGUACAGUUAUAGAAAACAAAAACAACAUUGAGCCUCAGCAAUGUGCAUAAAAUCUGGGCAAAGGUGAUGUAUUUUUGUAGUCCACCCCAGAAGUUAAAA